AGGAAUAGCUAAUGUGAACGCAUACACUAAACCCAAAGUACGGGGAAGUAUUUUUUUAACCAUGGCGAUCUCCUCAGAUGCAAGGCCACAAAAUCAGCCACCUACUUGUUAUUAUUAAUUUAAAAUGCAAUUUAAAUGCCAAGUAGUUUUCAGUUACUUAAGCAAGCCAAUCUAAAGGUGAGAUUGCUUUCCCUCGUAGCCUUAUCUCAAAGUAUAGGCCGUUUUGUUUAAUACCGCCGCUAUGACC
rnacentral:ncRNA from 1 species